UCAUUGUCAUAAAGUUCGUGUAUAGUACUCGAUAGCGGAGAGGAAUGAAGAAAAAAUUCACGGAUUGAGUGGGAGGCCAAAAACAGCAAUCAACCUUGGAAAAAAAAAAUGGAUACUUGCUGUUCAUAUCUCCUUGAUCUGGCGAUGCUCUAACACGCCAAGACCUACGAAGAAUAUACCUAAGCAAGUGGGACUGGCGAUCGUUUGAUCGAGACACAUCUUUUUAACAACGGACAUCGCAGUCCUGCCAGGGCCUGGAGUUACAAAAUCAUCUGGCACCUUCGGUGUGGGCAACAUCAGUGCGAUACAACAACAAUAGCUUCCUUAAAGCCAGUGUGUUCCAACAAUUGAAGUGGAUACCAAACCAUUGGUACAUUUCCAAUUGGUAAUAAACAU